rnacentral:ncRNA from 1 species
CUCUCGAUUUCGUGAAGAGGUUCCGUCGAAAGACGGAUGAAAAGGGAAUGUCGGUGAGCCGAGGCCGUCUCCGGACGGGCGCGGCGAAGCCGCAGCUGCCCCCGCAACUGUAAGCGGCGAGCCAUCUCCCUCAAGCCACUGACGGCCAUGGCGCCGUCGGGAAGGCGGGAGACAAGGCCUUGACCCGUGAGCCAGGAGACCUGCCCCUUCCGUCACUCCUGA